rnacentral:rRNA from 1 species
CAACGAAGCGCAACCCUCGCCUUUAGUUGCCAGCAUUCAGUUGGGCACUCUAGAGGGACUGCCGGUGGUCAAACCGGAGGAAGGUGGGGAUGACGUCAAGUCCUCAUGGCCUUUAUGUCUAGGGCUACACACGUACUACAAUGGCCGGUACAAAGGGCAGCCACUCAGCGAUGAGGCGCUAAUCCCAUAAAGCCGGUCUCAGUCCGGAUCGCAGUCUGCAACUCGACUGCGUGAAGUUGGAAUCGCUAGUAAUCGUAGAUCAGCAUGCUACGGUGAAUACGUUCCCGGGCCUU